AUUGAACGCUGGCGGCAGGCCUAACACAUGCAAGUCGAGCGGAUGAAGGGAGCUUGCUCCUGGAUUCAGCGGCGGACGGGUGAGUAAUGCCUAGGAAUCUGCCUGGUAGUGGGGGAUAACGUCCGGAAACGGGCGCUAAUACCGCAUACGUCCUGAGGGAGAAAGUGGGGAAUCUUGGGACCUCCGGCACUCGCAUGAGCCAAGGGCGGAUUGGCUAGUUGGUGGGUUAAAGGCCUACCAAGGCGACGAUCCGAAACUGGUCUGAGAGGAUGACCGGUCACACUGGAACUGGGACACGGUCCAGACUCCUACGGGAGGCAGCAGUGGGGAAUAUUGGAAAAGGGGCGAAGGCCUGAUCCAGCCAUGCCGCGUGUGAAGAAGGUCUUCGGAUUGUAAAGCACUUUAAGUUGGGAGGAAGGGCAGUAAGUUAAUACCUUGCUGUUUUGACGUUACCAACAGAAUAAGCACCGGCUAACUUCGUG
rnacentral:rRNA from 1 species